CACAGCUGCACGGCCCCUCUAUUCUCAGCCUCUCUCUCAGUCGCCGGUGACAUUGUUGAUUUGCUACCUCGCUGUCGAAGGCUCGAACUCUUCACUCUUGGUUUGCUCUCUUCGACUCUUCCUCAAGCUGUGAUUCUGUGAAGCUCGGUGACUCAAGCUUGGAGAAAUUUGGGUUCGAUUUCUGGGUUCAAGUUCGGUGAUUCUUCAAGCUCAAUUUAUGGGUUCGAAUUUCUUGAAUCUCUUGUUAAGUUGCUGGGUUCGAUUAAGUUUCUCAUUCUUAAGUUUUUGAUUUUGGGCUGUGGUGUUUCUGGGUUCAAUUAAGUUGCUGGGUUCGAGCUGUGUUGGACGACUUUGCUUACUGUAUCUGUUUUGAAAUAUCAAUAUUUGGCCUCUGUAUCUAUUUUGGAUGGGAAUUGAAUCAAUUGAUUAAUUAAUAAUUGAAUUGCAUUUGUUUUGGCCUCUGUGAAUGAGAAUUGAAUCGAUUGAUUGAUUGAAUUGCAUAUUUGCAUCUGUUUUGGCCUCUGUUAAUGGGAAUUGAAUCGAUUGAUUAAUUGAAUUGCAUUUGCAUCUGUUUUGGCCUCUGUGAAUGGUUGUUGAAUGUUGAAUACUGUUUUUGUUUAUAUAAUUACAUGAUUUCUUCUGGUCAGCCGGUUAAUGAGUACAUUGACGCAGCUGUGAGACAUAUUCUCCUUAGGCAGGGUGUUCAUUAAGGUCAAGAUCAUGCUUGACUGGGAUCCCAAUGGCAAGCAAGGACCCAUGACUCCUCUACCUGAUCUUGUUACAAUCCACCAACCAAAGGAUGAUGAAUUGAUGAAUUGAUGAGACAUAUCAUGGGUUCAGUGGUUAGUGAGAUAGGGAAAGCUUUUUUGAAGCAGCUGAAAGUGUUCCUGAGG